ACAACUUUCUCUUAUCUUUAUCUAGCUCAAGGGGAUUUGGAUCCUCUCAUGAAUGAUUUACAAAUGAGAUGGUAAGGUGUAAUUUCUCACCAUCCAAAAUGAAACAGAAACAUAUAAAAGAUUUAAAUAAUAUAUAAUUUCUCUCUUGAAUAGUGUGAGAUUACACAUAACUCUCUCAUGUGUAAAUCACAUUUUGAAAGAACUCAACUUUCCUCUCAUGGUGUAUACACAUUUGGAUGGGUGUGUAAGAAACAUUUUCCUAAUUUUUUAGAUAAAGUAAAUAAAUGGCAAAAAAGCAGCCAAGGUUUCUCAAGCAACAUAUUUCAAAAUGAGUCCCAAGCCAGUUAAGAUCUCAUCAUCGAAAGUGUUUGCAUCAACACGAUGGAAGUAAAGAAGCGAAACUAAAGGCAAAAUGGUUCAUCUUAGACCUAACUACUAGUUAGGUCAUAGCUGAAAACCCUCAAGAUCUUAACCUAUAUGGAAGGGCAACUAAUUAUCCUUUGGCAAUUUAUGUAUCGCAUAUAAAGAUCUCAAAUAUAUAGAAUAGCUACUCGUGUGUAUGCAUUAAGAAACAUGAUUAAUUAGUGCACUUUGUUAUUUUGCUGUUAUAUAUAUAUGUGUCGUUGAUUGCUUUAUAUAUGUUGAAAUUUUCAUAGCUAGAUCAAUGAAAUAUUUCUACUUCCAAGA